rnacentral:rRNA from 1 species
UCANGGNAGGCAGCAGGCGCGUAAAUUACUCUAUGCCAACGCGGCGAAGUAGUGACGAAAAAUAGGACUGGGUAGCGCUUUGCGUUAUCUUUGUCCAAUGAGAGCAAUGUAAAAGCCUCAUCGAGGAUCCAUUGGAGGGCAAGUCUGGUGCCAGCAGCCGCGGUAAUUCCAGCUCCAAUAGCGUACACUAAAGUUGUUGCAGUUAAAAAGCUCGUAGUCUAAUGUAUGGGAGUUGCGGUGUGGGUGUUUGGUUGGUUUUGCCGACUAGACAAUACUCGCUCCGCUUCCCGCUUGUUUUGUUCUCUUUUAUAAAAGGAAACUGUUUCGCUGGUAAAAAAACUCCCCCCUCAACAAGGUGGUUAUGUUGAUAUGAAUUAUGGGGGGAUGAGAAGAGCUGCUCGGGUAUUUUUUUGUUGGUUUUGGUGGGAUAAUAAUGAUGAGGGGGGACUGUGGGGGGUAUUCUUAUUUACUUGUAAGAGGUGUUAUUGGAGGAUUGAGGAACGACCAACUGCUGAAGCAUCUUCUACCAAUGAUGUCUUUGAUCAUCAACAACAGAUGAGGGAUCGAUCGAUGAUGAUAUACCA